AAUUCCUUGUGAGACUAGAAAGUCUGCGGAGAAGAGCUUUAACAUCCACGGCCCUGGUGCAUUCCUUUAGAGGACUGGAAGUUCUCAUUCUACUUCACACUCCACACGUAGCAACAGAGAGACACACGCAGGUGAGGGCUCACACACCCAGCGUUCACACACGCUCUGCGUGGAGGGCUUCCUCAUCCUCUCCUGCCCUCAACACUGGAGUCCAGGAUUUCCCAGAGGAACAAAACAGGACCAGUCUGAGUGAUACAAGUUACCAUCUGUGUCAUCUCCUCACUGCAACACAGCUUUGUUCCCUUCUACCUCCUUUAUGCCGUCAUAGUCAGAUAUAUUACAUUAAUACAUGUAAUAAGCCCUGAAUCAUAUUUUGAAUAAAAGUUCUACACAAUAUGGUGAAGUGAUUAGUUACUGCAGCCCUGGGUUCCACGUAGAUGAAAAAGAAACACCCAAAUGAGACUUCUUUCCAGCAAGAUAUAACGAAGGCAAUUAAGGAACUUCAUGACUUUUUGAUCUCUUUGAAGGACUGACUAAGGCUGGGUCUAAAGAUCUCCAAUUCAUGAAAGAGUGCUUCACAUUUUUGAACAGGCCAGCAACGCCCUGAAACCAUUACAACCAAAGCUUCAAUGUCUGAUAUUCCUGUGGUUAUAGAGAUCCAGCUUGAGUGUUGUCAUUAGUUUUAUUAUAGAGUUCCUUCUUGCCUAUAUAAACAUUUCAAUAAAUGGGAGUUUAUGCAUAAAGACAUCUGCUAUUUGGAAAGCUGAGUAGUGAGUGACCGGUUUUUACAAUGAUUCGUAUUUCUGAAUUUUAAAAUUUGUUCAGCAUCCCAAGUCUGACAAGUUUAGGAGUGAAAUAAAAUGCAAGACUGACAA